AGCAGUAGCCACGGGAAUACGAAGGGUGCAAGCGUUAAUCGGAAUUACUGGGCGUAAAGCGUGCGUAGGCGGUUUGUUAAGUCUGCUGUGAAAUCCCCGGGCUCAACCUGGGAAUGGCAGUGGAUACUGGCAAGCUAGAGUGUGUCAGAGGAUGGUGGAAUUCCCGGUGUAGCGGUGAAAUGCGUAGAGAUCGGGAGGAACAUCAGUGGCGAAGGCGGCCAUCUGGGACAACACUGACGCUGAGGCACGAAAGCGUGGGGAGCAAACAGGAUUAGAUACCCCCGUAGUCCCUGUCUCUUAUAC
rnacentral:rRNA from 1 species